CACAUGAUCCACUCAGGAGUUAAGAUGGGAGGAGCAACAGCUGUGAAGAGGCCCAGUUUUGAAGGUGGGAGGAGCCUCUGAUUUAAAGGUGGAAGGAGCCUCUGAUUUAAAGGUGGGAGGAGCCUCUGAUUUAAAGGUGGGAGGAGCCUCUGAUUUAAAGGUGGGAGGAGCCUCAGGGCAUGAAGGUGGGAGGAGCCUCUGAUUUGAAGGUGGAAGGAGCCUCUGAUUUAAAGGUGGGAGGAGCCUCUGAUUUGAAGGUGGGAGGAGCCUCUGAUUUGAAGGUGGAAGGAGCCUCAGGGCAUGAAGGUGGGAGGAGCCAAGAUGACAAAGAACAAUUAAGCACCAGGAAUAAUGAUUACACACACAGUUAUUAAAAUCUAUCCUGCACAUUAAAUAGCUACAAACUACAGUAUGUUGUAAAAUGCUGAUAAAAACACAAUAAUAUGUCAUAAAAUUGUGAAAUGCAAACAAAUGUUUCAGGGUAGUAUGACAUCUUGUCAUAAAAGUACUUCAUAGAAUAUGUUAAAAAUAUAUAUGUACAUAUAAAAAGAGUCAUAGUAUACAAUAUUAUCACAUUUAAUGAGAACCACCUGUCAUAUUAUGUGUUGUAUGUUGAAAUUCAGCACAGUCAUUGAAAAUGUUUUUAAAGAGUAUAUGUGGUAAAAAUGUCUGCAUCGUGUAAAAUUUCAUUAAAAGACUUUAGUAUAGUUGCUGUAAAUGUCAUAGCAUGUGUUAAAAAUUAGAUGUUAGUGCAAUCUGUUGCCAAAAAUGUUAGUCUCUGUGUUAAAAUG